rnacentral:rRNA from 1 species
CGCGAAGAACCUUACCAGGUCUUGACAUCCUUUGACCACUCUAGAGAUAGAGCUUCCCCUUCGGGGGCAAAGUGACAGGUGGUGCAUGGUUGUCGUCAGCUCGUGUCGUGAGAUGUUGGGUUAAGUCCCGCAACGAGCGCAACCCUUAUUGUUAGUUGCCGUCAUUUAGUUGGGCACUCUAGCGAGACUGCCGGUGACAAACCGGAGGAAGGUGGGGAUGACGUCAAAUCAUCAUGCCCCUUAUGACCUGGGCUACACACGUGCUACAAUGGGAAGUACAACGAGUUGCGAAGUCGCGAGGCUAAGCUAAUCUCUUAAAGCUUCUCUCAGUUCGGAUUGUAGGCUGCAACUCGCCUACAUGAAGCCGGAAUCGCUAGUAAUCGCGGAUCAGCACGCCGCGGUGAAUACGUUCCCGGGUCUUGUACACACC